AGCUGCAGGAAGAGGAUAGAGGACUUAGAAAAUUGCAUCCUGGGCCGGAGGAGCCCGUGCAAAAUGCGGUUGCUGGGAGCCGCGCAGAGCUUGCCUGCUC
rnacentral:sRNA from 1 species